rnacentral:rRNA from 1 species
GAUGAACGCUGGCGGCGUGCCUAAUACAUGCAAGUCGAGCGAACGGACGAGAAGCUUGCUUCUCUGAUGUUAGCGGCGGACGGGUGAGUAACACGUGGAUAACCUACCUAUAAGACUGGGAUAACUUCGGGAAACCGGAGCUAAUACCGGAUAUAUUUUGAACCGCAUGGUUCAAAAGUGAAAGACGGUCUUGCUGUCACUUAUAGAUGGAUCCGCGCUUCAUUAGCUAGUUGGUAAGGUAACGGCUUACCAAGGCAACGAUGCAUAGCCGACCUGAGAGGGUGAUCGGCCACACUGGAACUGAGACACGGUCCAGACUCCUACGGGAGGCAGCAGUAGGGAAUCUUCCGCAAUGGGCGAAAGCCUGACGGAGCAACGCCGCGUGAGUGAUGAAGGUCUUCGGAUCGUAAAACUCUGUUAUUAGGGAAGAACAUAUGUGUAAGUAACUGUGCACAUCUUGACGGUACCUAAUCAGAAAGCCACGGCUAACUACGUG